CUGGCGCGCUUCUUCCUCCUCCUCUUCGGUUGCCGCCGCCACCGCCUCCCCACCGGCCGCCGGCCCCGCGCUCGGCUCGGCAGGCAAGCUCCCCGCCAAGCUAUUGGCCAGCCCUACUGGCCUUCUGAUUGGCCCACCGGACAACCUCCUCCGCAGAACGCGUACACAGCUACACCGCGGAGUCCAGAGCUUCAAGGCAGACGAAAGGGUCUUUUAUUUGCGAGGGUCGGGGGUGGGGGGUCCUAGGUGGGGCCAAACAAUAAAUACCGAGGAAUGUCGAGUCUCAGUGCAUCCAAAACGUGGAUUAGGGUGAUGGGGUCCUGGAGGCUGUCAGCAAGUCGGAGGAUAAAGGCAAUAAAUAUCCAAACCACCAAGACGGGCGGAGCCAGCUGUGGCUCCUAGAGCAGCGCACGUAAGGGGGGAGGGGGGC